rnacentral:rRNA from 1 species
CAUUCACGGAGAGUUUGAUCCUGGCUCAGGACGAACGCUGGCGGCGUGCUUAACACAUGCAAGUCGAACGGUGAAGCCCUUCGGGGUGGAUCAGUGGCGAACGGGUGAGUAACACGUGGGCAAUCUGCCCUGCACUCUGGGACAAGCCUUGGAAACGAGGUCUAAUACCGGAUAUUACCCCUGGGGGCAUCCCUGGGGGUGGAAAGCUCCGGCGGUG